AAUGUACGUUGUGUACGUUGGAUAUUGCAGUUUUUGGUGCAAUUAAUGCAAUGUUAUAUUUGAUUUUUUGGAGAUAUACAGCCUACACUAUUAUACGCUAUGCAAGAGUAAAUUGGUAUUUACAACGUUUUUGUAUACAUCAUGACUAUAGUUUUAGAUAAUACAUUGGAGCAUUUUAAAGAUGACAUGGAUGAUAUGGAUUCAUUAAUUUUCUCUAAUAAUGUGACAUUGUCCUACAUUCUAUCGUCAUUUCAACUUGUAAACUGCAUGUAUUAUGUCGUUUUAUUUAGCAAAUAUUUUGCAUUGUAUUGAGUUGAGUUUACAUAAUUAAAAUUUUAUUACUAU
rnacentral:misc_RNA from 1 species